rnacentral:rRNA from 1 species
UACGUAGGGGGCGAGCGUUGCCCGGAUUUAUUGGGCGUAAAGGGCGCGUAGGCGGCCACGCACGUCCGUUGUGAAAUCGCUCGGCUCAACUGGGCGGGGUCAGCGGAUACGGUGUGGCUAGAGCAAGCUAGGGGGCAAUGGAAUUCCCGGUGUAGUGGUGGAAUGCGUAGAUAUCGGGAGGAACACCAGUGGCGAAGGCGGUUGCCUGGAGCUUUGCUGACGCUGAUGCGCGAAAGCGUGGGGAGCGAUCCGG